rnacentral:rRNA from 1 species
CCAGACUCCGUACGGGAGGCAGCAGUGGGGAAUAUUGCACAAUGGGCGCAAGCCUGAUGCAGCCAUGCCGCGUGUGUGAAGAAGGCCUUCGGGUUGUAAAGCACUUUCAGUCGUGAGGAAGGUAGUGUGUUUAAUAGAUGCAUUAUUUGACGUUAGCGACAGAAGAAGCACCGGCUAACUCCGUGCCAGCAGCCGCGGUAAUACGGAGGGUGCGAGCGUUAAUCGGAAU